rnacentral:rRNA from 1 species
CAGUCGCCGCGGUAAUACGUAGGUGGCAAGCGUUGUCCGGAAUUAUUGGGCGUGAAGGGCUCACAGGCGGUUUCUUAAGUCUGAUGUGAAAGCCCCCGGCUCAACCGGGGAGGGUCAUUGGAAACUGGGAAACUUGAGUGCAGAAGAGGAGAGUGGAAUUCCACGUGUAGCGGUGAAAUGCGUAGAGAUGUGGAGGAACACCAGUGGCGAAGGCGACUCUCUGGUCUGUAACUGACGCUGAGGAGCGAAAGCGUGGGGAGCGAACAGGAUUAGAUACCCCAGUAGUCCCUGUCUCUUAUAC